ensembl:lncRNA
GUCAUUCUUACUACAGUUGAACAGUUAUGAAACCAGAGUGCGAGGCUGCACGUGAUACGAGAGGCAUGAGAGUAAGAUAUUUUCUAAGAAUGUGCGAGACUUUAGAUUAAUUUACCAAUAUAGGUAAAUAACUAGAAUACGUGCAGCAAACGGUAAAACUAUUUGUUCUACACACCAGAUUUUAUGAUUACGAUAAUAAAUUAAAAUAUGACACCAGUUUGCAAUCUCAAGUAGCAUAAUGGACUGUUUUUGUACAGCUAAAAUAAGUGGAAGCGAUUGACAUCGGAAGCCAAAUUCCAAAAAGAAUUGAUUCCGAGGUUUGGGAAUUGAGAGUCGAUUUCAUCAAGAAGAAUUUACUCUUCUGUAAAGGCCUUUUUUUAAAUUUUAGACCACAUUCAUUCGCCCCUCCUUCAAUAAAAGUGAUUGGCGACCAAAAUGACAAUUUACAAUAAAUUGGAGCUACAGAAUAUCUUCAUAUUUACAAGUAAAGCAUCAUUUACGAAAUAUUACUUUCCACGACCUUCAUCCUGUGGUCACAGCAAGAUUAGGUGAACAUGUUCCUCCAAUCUUUCGAACUGGAGAAAGAAUCGAAAACAACAGUGAAGAAUUUUUGGUUGUACAGAAAUUAAGAUAUUUUGUAUGCCUAAGCUGCUUUCCAAAUGAAUGCACAAUUGACAAAUGAUUAUUUUGAGAUGAACUAUUCCAUUACUGCACAUUUUAUUAAUCAUACGUCUCUCUUUAUGCCUCAGUCUUGCUCUUUUACUCAUUAUCUGGUCUGGUCACCUCGGUUUAGUAUUAACCUGAAAGGUAGCAGAUGAGGACAUCAGAUAGAGACCAUUGUGCUGCUGUGCAAACAUUAACAUAGUCGUCAGGACUGCGAUGCCACACAAUAGGCUUGCUGGGGGACUACAGAAACCCAACUAAAGAUAGAUUUGUUUGCGUAUGACUCACACGGUCAGUUCCCGAAGCAUCUGACUCGAUGCUAACGCACAAAGCUAAUAACAACCCUAUAUGAACUCUGUUCUGCUCUGUUUGUCCCCCCCUACGCACAGCCCGAGCCCUAUCCCACAGUGCAUUGCACUUGAUGAAGACCUGCGCUGGUUUCUGAAUAACAGCGGCUCGCCACACCUGAUGAGAAUAAAUCUAGAUGAGGAUUUUUACAGUGGGAGGGAUUACGGGGGUUUGUAAUCUCAGCGUGGUAGCAUUAAAGCAAUAGUUCAGGCGAAAUGAAAAUACUGGGCUUAUUUACUCACCCUCAUGUCCUUCCCUCGUGUUAUUUUGUCUAUGAAACACAAUUGGAGAAUUUUCUAUAGAAGCACAGUUGUUUGUUCAUAUGGAAAUCAUUUUAUGACUUGCAUUCCAUGUCACUGAUUCUUAUCACUAACCUGAAAUUGACGCUGGUGUAACGUCCUUACCCAUAAUACCUCAAAAUAAAUAUAGUGUGACUAACAAGUCAAUCAUGUUGUGUCACAGUUCAAAGCAGUGUCUGCACUUCAAAUGUGCUGCCACAGAGGGCGCAGUGGAGCUCCAUCGCCGCUUGUGGAGAAUGUUUUUGGGCUAGAGCUCCGCUUCAACCAUAUACGACUUCCUUAUCAGUCCCAGCCUGCUGGUAAAGUCAGCCUGCAGUGCACUGAAGAGCCAAACUCGCUGUCAUACAGGGCCCUGUAGAAAUGAACAGAAUAAUGAAAGACAGUGAGAGAAACUAAAUGGUAUGAAUAUGAUAUCGCCUAUUUUCCAUAAUCAUCUCAUGUAUGCAUAAGUAGGUGCUUUCUGAAGAUUUUACAAAUGUGGUCAUUUAUGGACCACCAAAUAUGCAUAAGGAAUGACACUAAAAUAUUUAACUUUUUAUGUAUUUGUUUGACCUCGCUAUUAGGUUAUUUACUGUAUAUGGGUAAAAGAGCAAUAAUCAAGAAUAAUGAGAUUCAAUCAAAAUCAGGAAAAAACAAAACAACAUAAACAUCAAUAUGGGAGAAUUUCAAGCCCUCAUUUCACACUAUAUGAUGUAUCUGUCAACCCAGACAGCAAAAAUAAUAUUAGUAUUAAUAUUAGCAUGUCUGGAUGGACAUCCAAUUUUGGUAAUCACUCACAUUUCAAUGAAAUAAAACAUGAAUAAUGAUUUU